rnacentral:lncRNA from 1 species
AAACCCGGGCAAAGGACCAGGACAGUGUUUCCAGGAAAAGCCAAAGGAUCCCAAGAGACAGCCCCUUUGCCGGAUUGCAGCCAGGAAAAUCUCUGCUGCCCAAUCCCACUGCAGCUGUUCGGCCCUGCCCACCCCCCAACCCAGCCCUGAAGCCAGAAGUGGGGAGGAAAGACCACGGCUGGCUCACUUCCUCUCUCAUUGUCUUCCAGACAAUGGGCAAAGUUCCACUGAGUCAGACCAGGGACUCACUACACCACAGACCCAAAUUAGGACUGUGGGGAAGGAAGCUGUCAGCAGGGACAGAUGACCAGACUUGCGUUUGCACAAGGCCUUCCUCCUCUUCACAGCCUCCCACAGCCGCCGCUGGCCUGCAG